rnacentral:rRNA from 1 species
AGAGUUUGAUCCUGGCUCAGGAUGAACGCUGGCGGCGUGCCUAACACAUGCAAGUCGAGCGAUUCUCUUCGGAGAAGAGCGGCGGACGGGUGAGUAACGCGUGGGUAACCUGCCCUGUACACACGGAUAACAUACCGAAAGGUAUGCUAAUACGGGAUAAUAUAUUUUGAUGGCAUCAUCGAAAUAUCAAAGCUCCGGCGGUACAGGAUGGACCCGCGUCUGAUUAGCUAGUUGGUGAGGUAAUGGCUCACCAAGGCGACGAUCAGUAGCCGACCUGAGAGGGUGAUCGGCCACAUUGGAACUGAGACACGGUCCAAACUCCUACGGGAGGCAGCAGUGGGGAAUAUUGCACAAUGGGGGAAACCCUGAUGCAGCAACGCCGCGUGAGUGAUGAAGGUUUUCGGAUCGUAAAACUCUGUCUUUGGGGACGAUAAUGACGGUACCCAAGGAGGAAGCCCCGGCUAACUACGUGCCAGCAGCCGCGGUAAUACGUAGGGGGCUAGCGUUAUCCGGAAUUACUGGGCGUAAAGGGUGCGUAGGUGGUUUUUUAAGUCAGAAGUGAAAGGCUACGGCUCAACCGUAGUAAGCUUUUGAAACUGGGAAACUUGAGUGCAGGAGAGGAGAGUAGAAUUCCUAGUGUAGCGGUGAAAUGCGUAGAUAUUAGGAGGAAUACCAGUUGCGAAGGCGGCUCUCUGGACCGUAACUGACGC